rnacentral:lncRNA from 10 species
UGACAAAAAUGUGAGAUUGCUUUUAUUUAAGGGACAUUGUUAGUAUGAAUGCUUCAAAAACGGAAUCAAUAGUCAUCCUACAUUAAAUCCAAAUCGGUGUACUCUAUACAUCUGCCUACGUGUCUGCGUAAGCAUGGGUGCUCCCCAAAUUCCUGUAAUUUAUAAGAGCUAUUUAAUACUUACUUUCAUUUUUCCUUCCCCACUCAGUUCUUUCAUUUCUCCCGAAUGAAUCAAGGAGAAAUCUCCCAGGAAGGCGAAACCUCUGGACCACCAAGUCCUUGAAGUCAGACAAUGAUGAAGUUGGUGGACAUGUUUCCACUGACAUGGAGUGAUCCAGUCUGCAAGGAAAGAGAAGGAAGCUGGCAACACACACACAGCACAGGAGGAAUGAGGGGAGCCUCCUCAUGCACCUCAGUAACUUGGCUCUAGUUAUUCGUGAAGCCCAUCUGCAUCCCCACUCUUUCC